GGUCAGUCUCCAGGUAUGCCCAAGUAAAGUUAACACUGUCAGUUGCAUCCAUCAUACAGGCUGGUUCAGGCAGUGGAGGUUCUUCUUCCUGAGACUAUAUUCAAAAAAGUAUUUGCUUUUUCUUGACUCAUUGGGUUGACAGUUUACUAAAGGCCUGAAGUGUGUGCACAUUGCUGGUACAGUUGUCUAAGUUAAUGAGAUGGCUUCAUAGUUGGUAGGGCCUGUUCCCGUUACAGGUGUGACUGGGUGUGUACAGGCUGCUGAGGUGCCUCUUUUCCAGACUUUCAUUGGACCAUGACAUUCUGAGGCCCCAGUUCCACCAUUUUCCAAGGUGGGACAUGCUGAACCAGUCCCUGGAAUUGUGAUUCAAGGUGACCAGGCUGCGGCUGCUCUUUAAAAGGCAGAACAGCUAUGUCUGUGUCUUAUUUUCCUUGUCAUUCUAACGUAUCUUUUGAUAUGGAGACCAGCAAAGUCUGAGUAUGUGACAGCCCUCCUGCUAGAGUUGGUACUAUUUAUACAUGACUCUUAAGAGUCAAAGUAGGUUGAGAGAUCUCUCUUCCUGGCACAGCCUGAGUAGGCUAGAGUACUGUGACCCUUACAGCUUAGCUCAUGCAGUCUUCAGGGGAAUUUCAAAAAACCAUAGGAUGAGGGGGUAGAGAAAAAGCUGGUAUAAAUGACAAGUUGCAGGUGAAAUAAUUGGAGGCAGGAAGAGAACGGGACCUGCUUGGAACAGUACACACACUGCCUGGGUACAGCUGAACAGUCAAGCCAGUUCUCUGAUUUGGGCCUUGUGCAGUGGGACUAACAGGCCCACUUCUGCUCUGGCCUGGAUGCUGAACACUUUGGUUCUAGAACCAAAUGUGGAUUCUGGACUCGGGAAUUCCAGUUGGGUUUCACAGGCCAGUGAAGUGAGGAGGCCCAGGUGGGCCCACAAAAGUGGCUGUGGGUGAGCUUACGCCACACAUGACUGGCUGCUUCUAUGCCUACAUUCACAAGAGAGAUCUUCUUCCUCAAAGGCAUGCCCAGGGAGAUCUGAGGCUCAUAGGAGCCAAGUGAAGAAAAAAGGUGAUGCCUCAGUUCAGUGCUUUUGGCCCUCUUGGCUUGUGGCUUUGGGGGCUCAAAGUGCUCAUCAGAAAAAUGGGCAAUGAAAGACUGGCUGCUCAUCCCACUUUUACCAGGCGACUGCACAAUGCUCACUCUGCAGCUCCAGGUACAGCCUGUGUUUCAAAAAGCUGGGGGAUCUCUGGGCUGAGUUCAGGAGUCCCCCUCAGGGACUCCUCCUGCCUACCCCUCUGUGCCCACCUGACAGCUCACCAUGCCUGCAGUAUGACACCUUUAUUGCCUGCUCUUGGCAAGCCCAAGUCUCCCUGGGUUGGCUGGGGGCACAUGCUCACUGAAGCCCAGGUGGCCUGACCAUCCUUCCUCCAAUGUACAGCCUUAGGCAGGUGCCACCCAGGUUUCCUCCUAGAAUGUGAUCUCAGGGGAUCGCAGCAGCACAUUCCACUCUAACUUACAGACUAGUUAAUCAAAAAGUCACUUAAUGUACCAAGGUGGGUGUGGGCCUUGACACUCUUGAUAUCCUUCCUCUAGUGGGGCUGCCAUCCUUAUUUCUUGGUGGAAAAAGCUAGCAGGUGAGGCAGGACUCAAGUGCUAGGGACAGGACAGAGAACCUAGGCUGGCCUCACCCAGGGCCCUCUGUGGCUCCUGCAGGCAGGAGGGCUCCAUGGAGCUUCAGACCCCUUUUCUAGGAUGGUGCCCAUAGUCCCUUCCUGGAUCUCCAAGAAGGGCCCACUCUUUCUGCAACCUGCACCUACUGGUCUCUAAAUGGAAGGUGAGCAUCUGGUCUCUAAAUGGAAGGCGAGCAUCCAUUUAUGUUUGUGGACAUGGCCUUCUGCUCCAUUUCCAUGAGAAAUACCUAGGGAAUCCUGGGCCUAUGGUGGACGUUCUCUAAGUGCCAAAGUCAGUAAGUCUCAAGAAUAUAAUUAAUAGUAUUUUCUGCACAUUACUAUCUCAGGGUUACUUUUGCCCAAAAAUGUGUAAAAACAAAUACUAAGAUUUUUAUCCUUUACAUUAUCUUAAUUAGGUCAUCAUACAAACCUUUUAUUUUCCUCCCAAUCAUUGAAUUUUUGUUUUAUUCUCUGUUUAAAUUGUUACCUGCUUUAGAGGCAAAAACUUAAAAAAAAAAUACACUACA